rnacentral:lncRNA from 1 species
AUGGGAAAUGUCUGCUGAAUAACCUAGACAGCAUAGCAGUGAUGCUGUCAAUCCCAUUAGCCAAGCCAGGCUCCCUCUCCUCAGAGAUACUGGAGCUUCAUCUUUCUACUCAGAUAAGAAUCUCCAGGCGCCUUGGGAGGAUGGACAGUCUGGGCUGAGGGGUGGCUCAUUUGAUGAAGAGUCUGCUGCAAGCUCAUGGGGACUUGACUUCUGAUCCCCAGAAGCCAUGUAAAAGCCAUGCAUGGUGACAGGCAUCAGGAGCCUCUGAUCUAGGAAUGCAGAGCUAGGCAGGUCCCUAGGGCUCAUUGGCCACCCAACCACACAAAAUAAGUCCCCAUUUCAAUGAGAGGCACCAUCUCAAGAGUAAAAAUGAGGGGCAGAGCAGUUGAGAAUGGCUCCCAAAGUCAACCUCUAGCCUAUAACACACACACACACACACACCACAGAGGGAGGAGUGGUAUGCGUACCUCAUGACACAAGACAGGAUUUAUUCUGGAGCAAACAGAGAACAAAGAAGCACCUGCUGUGCCCCACAGGAUUUGGGGUCCUUCCUUGGUGUUGUAUCACAGGGACCAUCUUGAAGGCGCACUGCCAUCAAAUGAUGGACAGGCUCCUUCCUAAAGACUUCUAUCCAAUAGCUUUGUGUCACAGCAAAGCCAAGGUUUAUGCAGAAAGCAACUAGUAGCUUGGUUAGAAAAGCCUUGCCUAUGCUCUU